CCUACGGGAGGCUGCAGUGAGGAAUAUUGGUCAAUGGCCGCAGGGCUGAACCAGCCAAGUCGCGUGAGGGAUGACGGUCCUAUGGAUUGUAAACCUCUUUUGUCAGGGAGCAAAGGGCGCCACGUGUGGCGCUUUGCGAGUACCUGAAGAAAAAGCAUCGGCUAACUCCGUGCCAGCAGCCGCGGUAAUACGGAGGAUGCGAGCGUUAUCCGGAUUUAUUGGGUUUAAAGGGUGCGGAGGCGGAAUGUCAAGUCAGCGGUAAAAUUGCGGGGCUAAACCCCGUCGUGCCGUUGAAACUGGCGUUCUUGAGUGAGCGAGAAGUAUGCGGAAUGCGUGGUGUAGCGGUGAAAUGCAUAGAUAUCACGAAGAACUCCGAUUGCGAAGGCAGCAUACCGGCGCUCAACUGACGCUCAUGCACGAAAGCGUGGGUAUCGAACAGGAUUAGAUACCCGGGUAGUC
rnacentral:rRNA from 1 species